UACGGAGGAUGCAAGCGUUAUCCGGAUUCAUUGGGUUUAAAGGGUGCGUAGGCGGCUUUUUAAGUCAGUGGUGAAAUCCUGCCGCUUAACGGUAGAAUUGCCAUUGAUACUGAAGAGCUUGAGUCCAGUUGAGGUAAGCGGAAUGUGUAGUGUAGCGGUGAAAUGCUUAGAUAUUACACAGAACACCAAUUGCGAAGGCAGCUUACUAAACUGGCACUGACGCUGAUGCACGAAAGCGUGGGGAGCGAACAGG
rnacentral:rRNA from 1 species